UACAGAGGUCUCAAGCGUUGUUCGGAUUCAUUGGGCGUAAAGGGUGCGUAGGCGGCGAGGUAAGUCGGAUGUGAAAUCCCGGGGCUCAACCCCGGAACUGCAUUCGAUACUGCUUUGCUUGAGUACUGGAGAGGAGACUGGAAUUUACGGUGUAGCAGUGAAAUGCGUAGAUAUCGUAAGGAAGACCAGUGGCGAAGGCGAGUCUCUGGACGGUUACUGACGCUGAGGCACGAAGGCCAGGGGAGCAAACGGG
rnacentral:rRNA from 1 species